rnacentral:rRNA from 1 species
GACGAACGCUGGCGGCGUGCUUAACACAUGCAAGUCGAACGCAGUGGCGAACGGGUGAGUAACGCGUAAUCAACCUGCCCUUCAGCGGGGGACAACAGUUGAAAACGACUGCUAAUACCCCAUACUGAAGGAGGGGAUUGCGUGUGAUUAGCUAGUUGGGGGGGUAACGGCCCACCAAGGCGAUGAUCAGUAGCCGGUCUGAGAGGAUGAACGGCCACAUUGGGACUGAGACACGGCCCAGACUCCUACGGGAGGCAGCAGUGGGAAUCUUCCGCAAUGGGCGGAAGUCUGACGGAGCAACGCCGGGUGGGUGGUGACGGGCUUCGGGUUGGAAAGCUCUGUUAAUCGGGGCGCGGUACCGGAAUAGAAAGCCACGGCUAACUACGUGCCAGCAGCCGCGGUAAUUC